rnacentral:rRNA from 1 species
GCCUGCCCAAUGACUCUGUUUAACGGCCGCGGUAUCCUAACCGUGCGAAGGUAGCGUAAUCACUUGUUCUCUAAAUGUGGACUAGUAUGAACGGCAUCACGAGGGUUAUACUGUCUCCUCUUUCUAAUCAGUGAAACUAACCUCCCCGUGAAGAGACGGGGAUAAAACUAUAAGACGAGAAGACCCUACGGAGCUUUAAACAACAUAGCACCUGCCAUAUCGUAUAAAAAUUUCCGAAUCUCUUACUCCAGGGCAGUAUGACUAUAAGUUUUUGGUUGGGGUGACCGCGGAGCAAAACUUAACCUCCAUGUUGAAAAUUUUUAAGCUAAGAACCACCCUUCUAGGCAUCAAUAUACUGACACCAAUUGACCCAAUAUAUUUGAACAACGAACCAAGUUACCCUAGGGAUAACAGCGCA